rnacentral:rRNA from 1 species
GAUGAACGCUAGCGACAGGCUUAACACAUGCAAGUCGAGGGGCAGCGGGGGAGUAAGCUUGCUUAUCCUGCCGGCGACCGGCGCACGGGUGAGUAACACGUAUGCAACCUGCCCUUGGCAGGGGGAUAACCCGGAGAAAUCCGGACUAAUACCGCGUAACACCCUUGGGGGACAUCCCCCGGGGGGUCAAAGGAAGCAAUUCCGGCCAAGGAUGGGGAUGCGUCUGAUUAGCUUGUUGGCGGGGUAACGGCCCACCAAGGCAACGAUCAGUAGGGGUUCUGAGAGGAAGGUCCCCCACAUUGGAACUGAGACACGGUCCAAACUCCUACGGGAGGCAGCAGUGAGGAAUAUUGGUCAAUGGGCGCAAGCCUGAACCAGCCAAGUAGCGUGAGGGAAGACUGCCCUACGGGUUGUAAACCUCUUUUGUUUGGGAAUAAAGUGCGGGACGUGUCCCGCAUUGCAUGUACCAUUUGAAUAAGGACCGGCUAAUUCCGUG